GUAAUACGUAGGUGGCAAGCGUUGUCCGGAUUUAUUGGGCGUAAAGCGAGCGCAGGCGGUUUUUUAGGUCUGAUGUGAAAGCCUUCGGCUUAACCGGAGAGGGGCAUCGGAAACCGGGAGACUUGAGUGCAGAAGAGGACAGUGGAACUCCAUGUGUAGCGGUGAAAUGCGCAGAUAUAUGGAAGAACACCAGUGGCGAAGGCGGCUGUCUGGUCUGUAACUGACGCUGAGGCUCGAAAGCAUGGGUAGCGAACAGGAUUAGAUACCCUGGUAGUCCAUGCCGUAAACGAUGAGUGCUAAGUGUUGGAGGGUUUCCGCCCUUCAGUGCUGCAGCUAACGCAUUAAGCACUCCGCCUGGGGAGUACGACCGCAAGGUUGAAACUCAAAGGAAUUGACGGGGGCCCGCACAAGCGGUGGAGCAUGUGGUUUAAUUCGAUGCUACGCGAAGGACCUUACCAGGUCUUGACAUCUUCUGCUAACCUAAGAGAUUAGGCGUUCCCUUCGGGGACGGAAUGACAGGUGGUGCAUGGUUGUCGUCAGCUCGUGUCGUGAGAUGUUGGGUUAAGUCCCGCAACGAGCGCAACCCUUAUUGUCAGUUGCCAGCAUUCAGUUGGGCACUCUGGCGAGACUGCCGGUGACAAACCGGAGGAAGGUGGGGAUGACGUCAAAUCAUCAUGCCCCUUAUGACCUGGGCUACACACGUGCUACAAUGGACGGUACAACGAGUCGCGAAACCGCGAGGUCAAGCUAAUCUCUGAAAGCCGUUCUCAGUUCGGAUUGCAGGCUGCAACUCGCCUGCAUGAAGUUGGAAUCGCUAGUAAUCGUGGAUCAGCAUGCCACGGUGAAUACGUUCCCGGGCCUUGUACACACCGCCCGUCACACCAUGAGAGUUUGUAACACCCAAAGCCGGUGAGGUAACCUUCGGGAACCAGCCGUCUAAGGUGGGACAGAUGAUUAGGGUGAAGUCGUAACAAGGUAGCCGUAGGAGAACCUGCGGCUGGAUCACCUCCUUUCAA
rnacentral:rRNA from 1 species